rnacentral:rRNA from 1 species
UACGAAGGGGGCUAGCGUUGCUCGGAAUCACUGGGCGUAAAGCGCACGUAGGCGGAUCUUUAAGUCGGGGGUGAAAUCCUGGAGCUCAACUCCAGAACUGCCUUCGAUACUGGAGAGCUUGAGUCCGGGAGAGGUGAGUGGAACUGCGAGUGUAGAGGUGAAAUUCGUAGAUAUUCGCAAGAACACCAGUGGCGAAGGCGGCUCACUGGCCCGGUACUGACGCUGAGGUGCGAAAGCGUGGGGAGCAAACAGG